UACUGGGACGACUGGCUAAGACUCAAAGAGAAUCACAGAGGUCGACAAUUUAUUCGCCCAGAAGUUUGCUGAACAUAUAAUUUUGGUGAGCAUGGUUUUAGUUUGGGGCAGUUUUUCAAGCAGUAUCUUGAGCCAAUUAAACUAAAUGAUGUCCAGGCAUGUUAUUUUAUUUUAUUGCCAUCACCCCUUUUCUUGCCUACUCAUUCUUUCCACUUGUAUGACAUGUAUUCUACCUUGAAUUUUGUAAGGUUGAUUGGGAGUCAAUGGACCUUAGUUACCUUUUGGAGGACAAUUACGUGAAACACUUUGGUGACUUGGUUAAAAAGGCUAAGCCCAUCCAUGGAGCUGAUGCUGUUUUGAAAGCAUUUAACAUAGAUGGUGAUGUGCGUAUUCAGUACAGAGAUCAACUUGACUUUGAAGAUACUUAACUCUUUCGAUAUAUCAUCGACGCAAACAGUUGUUGAUCUGAUAUCACAAACGCUGGUGCAAAUGGAGGUGAAAUUUGAAAUACAUGCUUGCCAUCUUCUCUUUCACUUAUGCCUAUCUAUGGGCUUGGGCCCCAGUAACUUUCCAUGCAAUAUGUGCUUGGGCUAGAGGCUGCGUCUGCAGGAACAAAAAAUGGGGUUUGCCAAUAUGGGCAAGACUUGGACCGUGUUAGGCCAGCCUGUUUGGCCUCAUAUAUUUAUUAUAAUUCAUUUUUCAUAUAAUUGAUAUAGAAAGCAUUCUUUUGGAUAGGUUGAUGUAGUAUAUUUUGAUAUGUAUUCAUUCUGGGUUUUAUACCACAUGUAUAGAAUGAGUACAAAUGAAAUAGGAGAUUUCUUAGGUUCAUAUAUUAAAAUUUAGACUGAUCUAUAGCCAUUUUGAAUAGAAUUAGUGAAAAUGAAAUAGGAGGAGAUCUUUUAGUUCCAUAGGUUACAAUUUAGAUUGAGCUUCAGUCAUUUACUUGUUUUAUUUGUGGCUUUGGUUACUUGGUUAAUUGAUUACUUAAUUCUUAAACAAACUGUUUCUGCAAAUUUAGUUACUUUUUGGUAAAUAAAGCCUAGAUUAAUAUUCAAUAUUAUAGUUUUUAAAUUUAAAGAUAAAAUUUUCUUAACGCCUAUUUGUUGCUCAAGGCCAGUCCUAUGGGAAAGGGUGGGGUGGAGUUGAAAUUAGACCUAUGAUAGCCCGACCGUAGUGAUGUUAAUUGUGGUUACAUUCAUAAGUAGCUUGGUCCAUCUUUAUUCCAUUUCAUAUAUGUCUGAGGAUGUUAAUAUUGAGGAUAUUCAAGGCCCAUAUCUGUUCUUUGCCUGUACUGUGGACAGGUCUAUUCACACUAGCUGUGACUGGAUUUGUCCUCUUUCAUGGUUCUCCUUUUGCUUUCCGUAAAACUUGCACUAACUGUUCAUUUCAUCAGGAUGGUGUACCACGGGCAGCAUAUAAAGGAAUAGUGGUUUUCCGGUACCAAAUGUCCAGACGAGUAUUCCUUGUUGGCCCUGAUUUGCUUCAACAACUCGGAAUUGAAGAUACUUAACAAAGAUAUGCUUGGUAAGUUUCUGUCCAUAAUGAGCAACACUAUUGAGUACUCUGUACACAGAGCUUUUGUAGUUUGUCUUUUAAUUUUUUUCAUGGAAAUUUGUUUAUUCAUCUUCAUGAAGGAAAAUCCUGAAAUGAGAAUAAUGUAGGAAUAAGUUUGGAAACUUUGUAAAACCACUUAAUUCAACUCCA